UACGUAGGGCGCGAGCGUUGUCCGGAAUUAUUGGGCGUAAAGAGCUCGUAGGCGGCCGGUUGCGUCUGCUGUGAAAUCCCGGGGCUUAACCCCGGGCGUGCAGUGGAUACGGGCCGGCUGGAGGCAGGCAGGGGAGAAUGGAAUUCCUGGUGUAGCGGUGAAAUGCGCAGAUAUCGGGAGGAACACCGGUGGCGAAGGCGGUUCUCUGGGCUGACACUGACGCUCAUGCACGAAAGCGUGGGGAGCAAACAGG
rnacentral:rRNA from 1 species